rnacentral:rRNA from 1 species
AGCAGCCGCGGUAAUUCCAGCUCCAAUAGCGUAUAUUAAAGUUGUUGCAGUUAAAAAGCUCGUAGUUGAAUUUCGGGAUUGGCGCAUCGGUCGUGCCUCACGGGGUAUGAACUGGUGCAGUCAAUUUCUCACCUUCUGGAGAACCGCGAUGUCCUUAAUUGGGUGCCGCGGGGAACCAGGACCUUUACUUUGAAAAAAUUAGAGUGUUUAAAGCAGGCAUUUUUGCUUGAAUACAUUAGCAUGGAAUAAUAAAAUAGGACGGCAUGGUUCUAUUUUGUUGGUUUCUAGGACCACCGUAAUGAUUAAUAGGGAUAGUUGGGGGCAUUAGUAUUCAAUUGUCAGAGGUGAAAUUCUUGGAUUUAUUGAAGACUAACUACUGCGAAAGCAUUUGCCAAGGAUGUUUUCAUUAAUCAAGAACGAAAGUUAGGGGAUCGAAGACGAUCAGAUACCGUCGUAGUCUUAACCAUAAACUAUGCCGACUAGGAAUCAGACGAUGUUAAUUUUUAAUGACUCGUUGGCA